GCUAAAUGGGUAAGGGGCAUGAGGGAAUUUACUCCUGAAAUCAUUGUUGCACUAUAUGCUAAAUAGCUUGGAUGUAAAUUAUAAAAAAAUUAAAAUUAAAAAAAUUUAUGUGAUGGAGAAUGUAUCAUUGAAGAGCAAACAUUUUUGAGAUUUUUUUGGAUCUGUUUUAAAACUGCAGUUUGGCAGAUUCAUAUGUUUACACCGUGCUGUGUCCCACCCAACUUGUAAAUAUUUGAUAAAUGUUACCUUUUAAAUCCUGAUAACAUUAUGAAAUUGUUAGGAAAUGUUGUGGCCGAUAACCUCUUCCCGAGCCUAAGAUUCACAUUUACCAUGUAGUUAUUGAUUGACUAGAACAAAAUGAUUUUGUUUUCAGGGAAACAUAGUCUCUCAGAGCCACAUCCAAACUUUCCCUUCAUUUAGUUGUAUGUUUUCCAAGGACAGAGAUAAGAUUUUUCCCCGUUCUUGUUCUCAAGCAGGUCAACCUGGAUCUAGUAAGACCAAAUAUUUAUGGACAUAUGUCCCAAAGGCUUUCAGGGUUCUCUGGCCUCCAUUCUAAAACUAUUAAGAAGAAAGAGUUGGAGGUGGAACCAUGUGGAAUUUUAGUUUGCGUUUAACUGGACAUCCAUGACUGAAUAAAAGUGCCUCUACAGAGCAUAUGGGGACAUUAGAGAUCAUCCAUGUGCAUCCAAAGUGGGUGGAUUGAGAACCAGAGAGGCUAUGGGGCCAAAGGGCCAAGGGAGGUGCAGCAGCCAGAGCGGCAGUGCUGGAACCAGCAGAGGAGGCAGAGGAGGUGGAAAGCACAGGUGGUAGGUGAAGUCCUCCCGACUGCUCAGGUGCAGCUGGAGGGGCCUGUUGCUCUUCAGCAGCACCUGGGUUUCCCGGAAGAGAACUCUGCGACUGGGACAAAGGACGGAAAGGGAAGAAGGCAGAGAAAGAGAAUUGAAGGAAGAAGUGUUCUGCUGUCUGCCUUGGUAUUUCAGGAAGAGGUCUGGGACUUCUGAGACUCCUCCCACCCACCCUAGAGUCCUUGGGCACACCCAAAGACCCAAGGGCUAAGCCCACAAUUCCCUUGCCGCUGUGCUACCAGAUAUUUUUGUUUUUGUUUUUAAUGUCAGCUCUAUUUGGUGUGCUCCUAAAUUUCGUGGAGAAUCAGCUCCUUUAGGAGAAAGAAAAUAUUGUGCUAUGUCAUGAGAUCUUCUGUGAAACAAAAAUAAAGUUUCUGAU